CAACUAUUAGGCACUGAACUAAGUGCUUACAACACAGCUUCCUGGUACAGUGUAGACCUCAAUUCACCUGUGAAGACAACACUUCUCUAAAGUGCCAGAUGUGAAGAUAUCCACAUCAAGUCUGCUCUGAAGUGACAGGAUGGCCGGGAACACAGCUUCUGAUGUUGUCCGGAUCCACCAGGACCGAGGCCCUCACGCCACGUUUUCCUCGUGACACAGCAGCAAGGAAAGAAAUCCAAUCACGAUAGCCAGCGUUGCUCCGAAAAUUCCCACCAGCAGUCUUUAGGUUGAAGGCCCAGGCUGGUACGGUAUCAGCGGCCCUGAGGCGUGUGUUGUGUCCCAGGGGCAGGCUGAUCUGAAUGGGCCCUCGAACCUGGAGCUCCUCCCAGCCAGAAUACAGCAGGACGUUGACGGC